GCAGCUUCUUGACCUCUUCGAAGAGUGGUCUGUCCUGCCAUGAGGGCGGUUUGUUCUGGUUCAAGAUAUCCAGCAUGAUCCAGCAAUCCGAUUCAAUUUCCAGGCGAGCUGUAUGGAAUCCCGUCUUCAGCAGAUAACGAAGGGUGAAAGUGAGCGCUUGCACUUCAGAUUGAAGCGCCGAGGUCGCUGGAAAUUCUGCAGAAUAAACAGCGGGUGCCACGAUCAGGGGGUCGCCAUAGAAAUUCAGAGUGCAGGGCAGUGGAUUGUUGUUUCCUCCACCUGGGGUUGGAUCAGUCAUAGUUGCAAGUUUGUGCUCGAGCGUCAGAAACAGCAAGUUGGGGCGUCGGCUGCUGGUGCCUGAAAACGAAAUUAUUCCGGCCUCGCCAAAUCUGCCAUAAGACAUGCGCGAUGAGCUCUAUCCCAGGUCACAGAUAGGGUCCGAAGUAAUGUGGCGUCUAAACAUAUUGGAUUCAUGUGCUACGAAGUUGCCUGUACGCGUUUUGGACGGCAAAUUGGAUUGGAUUCAAAUAUGUGAAAUGUCAUAUGGCAAACUCAAAGACCAAGUGAGAGGGCUGACCUUGCUAAGUUCGAAGUGAACUCCUAUGGUGAACUCAGAGACAGGAACAAGCACCAGCAAUCCAUCAGGAGGUGAGUACCAAGUCUUCUUGAAUUUUAGAGGGCCUGAUACUCGUCGUACAUUCACCGAUAUCCUCCACCAAGCCUUGGUAAAUGCCGGGAUUAGUGUUUUCAUCGAUGAUGAAGGCUUCGACCAGGUGAAAGAAUUAGUGGCAACCUUCUACAAGCGAUUAGCAAUUGCAAGCUCUACAUACCCAUCUUCUCCAAAGGUUAUGCUUCAAGUCACUGGUGCCUCGACGAGCUUGCGAAGAUGGUGGAGAACACCUCUAAAUAUAAAGAAGAUGGGAAAGAGAAGGUCAUAUUGCCCAUCUUCUAUGACGUGAAACCCG